rnacentral:rRNA from 1 species
UACGGAGGAUCCGAGCGUUAUCCGGAUUUAUUGGGUUUAAAGGGUGCGUAGGCGUCCCAACAAGUUAUAGUUGAAAUCUUCAGGCUUAACCUGAAAACUGGCUGUAAAACUGUUGGGAUUGAGUACAGUUGAGGUGGGCGGAAUGUGCCAUGUAGCGGUGAAAUGCUUAGAUAUGACACAGAACACCUAUUGCGAAGGCAGCUCGCUAAGCUGUAACUGACGCUGAGGCACGAAAGCGUGGGGAUCAAACAGG